rnacentral:rRNA from 1 species
GAUGAACGCUGGCGGCGUGCCUAAUACAUGCAAGUCGAGCGAACGGACGAGAAUCUUGCUUCUCUGAUGUUAGCGGCGGACGGGUGAGGAACACGUGGAUAACCUACCGAGAAGACUGGGAUAACUUCGGGAAACCUGAGCUAAUACCGGAUAAUAGUGUGAACCGCAUGGUUCAAAAGUGAAAGACGGUCUUGCUGUCACUUAUAGAUGGAUCCUCGCUGCAUUAGCUAGUUGGUAAGGUAACGGCUUACCAAGGCAACGAUGCAUAGCCGACCUGAGAGGGUGAUCGGCCACACUGGAACUGAGACACGGUCCAGACUCCUACGGGAGGCAGCAGUAGGGAAUAUUCCGCAAUGGGCGAAAGCCUGACGGAGCAACGCCGCGUGAGUGAUGAAGGUCUUCGGAUCGUAAAACUCUGUUAUUAGGGAAGAACAUAUGUGUAAGUAACUGUGCACAUCUUGACGGUACCUAAUCAGAAAGCAACGGCUAACUACGUG